rnacentral:rRNA from 1 species
AUGUUUGUGGCCCAAUUAGCUAGAAAGCAGGAAGUGAAUUCAGCAUUUUUCUAUGAUUUUGAUGUGAAUGAUGAGGGGAAGCUAAUGCGUGUGUUUUGGGCGGAUGCCACGGGCAGGAAGAACUAUAGUCACUUUGGUGAUGUCAUAUCCUUUGAUUCUACAUACACCACUAAUCAGUACAACAUGAUAUUUGCACCAUUUACUGGGGUUAAUCAUCACUUACAAAGUGUAUUUUUCGCUGCUGCAUUCUUAUCAAAUGAGAAGGAUGAGUCAUACAUUUGGUUAUUUGAGACCUUCUUAAUUGCAAUGGGAGGGAUAGCACCUAGACUCAUUAUAACCGAUGAAGCCACUAGCAUCAAGAAUGGUAUUGACGAAGUUCUUCCAACAACCGUUCAUAGGUUGUGCAUGUGGCAUAUAAUGCAAAAGGUUCCUGAA